rnacentral:sRNA from 1 species
AUGCUGUGAACGGGGGAAUGGAACCUGGAGUUCACUGGGGACUCUGCUUCCACUCCUCCUCUUAACCAGGAAUCUAGAGAAUGACAUGAAUUAUUGCUUUGGAAGAAAACCUCACAUCUCCACAAGACCUUGCUUCCCAAAUAAGACAUGUCAGAAGAUGCUGAUAAUCCUCACUUCUGCCUUACAAAUCGCUCAUAGGUGCAUCUGCAGGAUCUUACUUGGAUCCAGAGUGCUAGCUGCAAAAGCUUCUGGGAAUUGUACACUUAACUCUGAAGUUUUAUCUUUAAUAUAGGAAGUGCGGCGUAUGAUGCUGUCCUUGACAGAAAUGUGGCCAUUAAGAAGCUCAGCAGACCCUUUCAGAACCAAACACAUGCCAAGAGAGCGUACCGGGAGCUGGUCCUCAUGAAGUGUGUGAACCAUAAAAACAUUAUUAGUUUAUUAAAUGUCUUCACACCCCAGAAAACGCUGGAGGAGUUCCAAGAUGUUUACUUAGUAAUGGAACUGAUGGAUGCCAACUUAUGUCAAGUGAUUCAGAUGGAAUUAGACCAUGAGCGAAUGUCUUACCUGCUGUACCAAAUGUUGUGUGGCAUUAAGCACCUCCAUUCUGCUGGAAUUAUUCACAGGGAUUUAAAACCAAGUAACAUUGUAGUCAAGUCUGAUUGCACAUUGAAAAUCCUGGACUUUGGACUGGCCAGGACAGCAGGCACAAGCUUCAUGAUGACUCCAUAUGUGGUGACACGUUAUUACAGAGCCCCUGAGGUCAUCCUGGGGAUGGGCUACAAGGAGAACGUGGAUAUAUGGUCUGUGGGAUGCAUUAUGGGAGAAAUGGUUCGCCACAAAAUCCUCUUUCCAGGAAGGGACUAUAUUGACCAGUGGAAUAAGGUAAUUGAACAACUAGGAACACCAUGUCCAGAAUUCAUGAAGAAAUUGCAACCCACAGUAAGAAACUAUGUGGAGAAUCGGCCCAAGUAUGCGGGACUCA